GAGAGUGGCGGAAGGGACGAGGAACACGUCGGGCAACCUGUCUCUGAAGGUGGGGAAAACCGUUCGGAAACGACGGCUAAUACCGAAUGUAGCGCCCGCUCGCAUGAGCGGAGCGCCAAAGGGGGCGAAAGCUCCCCUCUCCGAGGGGCCCGCGCACCAUCAGCUUGUUGGCGGGUAACGGCCCACCAAGGCUCACGGUUAGCUGGUCUGAGAGGAUGGCCAGCCGCACUGGGACUGAGAUACUGCCCAGACUCCUACGGGAGGCUGCAGUCGAGGAUCAUUUGCAAUGGGCGAAAGCCUGACAAUGCGACGCUGCCGUGGAGGAUGAAGGCCCUCGGGUUGUAAACUCCUGUCAUGGGGGAAAAGGAAAAGGGACCCAACACGUCCCCGAUUUGAUGGUACCCCAAGAGGAAGCGACGGCUAACUCUGUGCCAGCAGCAGC
rnacentral:rRNA from 1 species